rnacentral:tRNA from 1 species
AAAGAAUUAGUUAAAACAUAACAUUAAAUUGUCAUUUUAAAAUUAUUUAUAAAAUACUCUUUC